rnacentral:piRNA from 1 species
UACUUUUGUUCGCUCUUUAAAGUACCUGGGA